rnacentral:rRNA from 1 species
AUGGAGGACGUGCGGGCGAGGAGCAUGGUGCGCGGCGGCGGCUCACUCCACCGUCGACUGCUCAGCGCAGGAGUGCGGCGGCUUCUUUCCUCGGGCGCGCGGCGGCCUGUUCCCUCGAGCAUGGCGCGUGACGGCCACUACAGAGGAGCUCCUCCCUCCGGCGUCGGCCACCCAACGCUGCACUGGCACGUGGCGGUGCCCCUCUGUCUCUCUCUCUCCAGGAACCAGCAAGCACGGCCGAGCGAGCGACGCGGGCGAGCGUGGCUUUCCAGUGGCGCGGUGAGCAGGGCGAGGCGGCGGUAG